rnacentral:rRNA from 1 species
UACAGAGGUCCCAAGCGUUGUUCGGAUUCAUUGGGCGUAAAGGGCUCGUAGGUGGCCAACUAAGUCAGACGUGAAAUCCCCUCAGCUUAACUGGGGAACUGCGUCUGAUACUGGAUGGCUUGAGUUUGGGAGAGGGAUGCGGAAUUCCAGGUGUAGCGGUGAAAUGCGUAGAUAUCUGGAGGAACACCGAUGGCGAAGGCAGGUCUCUGGGCCACUACUGACGCUGAGAAGCGAAAGCGUGGGGAGCGAACAGG